rnacentral:rRNA from 1 species
AAGUCGAGCGAGUGGAUUAAGAGCUUGCUCUUAUGAAGUUAGCGGCGGACGGGUGAGUAACACGUGGGUAACCUGCCCAUAAGACUGGGAUAACUCCGGGAAACCGGGGCUAAUACCGGAUAACAUUUUGAACCGCAUGGUUCGAAAUUGAAAGGCGGCUUCGGCUGUCACUUAUGGAUGGACCCGCGUCGCAUUAGCUAGUUGGUGAGGUAACGGCUCACCAAGGCAACGAUGCGUAGCCGACCUGAGAGGGUGAUCGGCCACACUGGGACUGAGACACGGCCCAGACUCCUACGGGAGGCAGCAGUAGGGAAUCUUCCGCAAUGGACGAAAGUCUGACGGAGCAACGCCGCGUGAGUGAUGAAGGCUUUCGGGUCGUAAAACUCUGUUGUUAGGGAAGAACAAGUGCUAGUUGAAUAAGCUGGCACCUUGACGGUACCUAACCAGAAAGCCACGGCUAACUACGUGCCAGCAGCCGCGGUAAUACGUAGGUGGCAAGCGUUAUCCGGAAUUAUUGGGCGUAAAGCGCGCGCAGGUGGUUUCUUAAGUCUGAUGUGAAAGCCCACGGCUCAACCGUGGAGGGUCAUUGGAAACUGGGAGACUUGAGUGCAGAAGAGGAAAGUGGAAUUCCAUGUGUAGCGGUGAAAUGCGUAGAGAUAUGGAGGAACACCAGUGGCGAAGGCGACUUUCUGGUCUGUAA